AUUGAACGCUGGCGGCAGGCCUAACACAUGCAAGUCGAGCGGAUGAAGGGAGCUUGCUCCUGGAUUCAGCGGCGGCCGGGUGAGUAAUGCCUAGGAAUCUGCAUGGUAGUGGGGGAUAACGUCCGGAAACGGGCGCUAAUACCGCAUACGUCCUGAGGGAGAAAGUGGGGGAUCUUCGGACCUCACGCUAACAGAUGAGCAUAGGUCGGAUUAGCUAGGUGGUGGGGUAAAGGCCUACCAAGGCGACGAUCCGUAACUGGUAUGAGAGGAAGAUCAGUCACACUGGAACUGAGACUCGGCCCAGACUCCGACAGGAGGCAGCGGUGGGGAAUAUUGGAGGAGGGAGCAAUGGCUAAUCCAGCAAUGCCGGGUGUAGCAUGAUGGUCCUCGGAUGCGAGAGUACUUAAAGUUUUGGGGUAGUAAAGUAAGUUUACACGGUACGAUAUUGACGGUACCAACAGAAUAAGCUCCGGCUAACUUCGUG
rnacentral:rRNA from 1 species